rnacentral:rRNA from 1 species
CCUACGGGUGGCUGCAGUGGGGAAUAUUGGGCAAUGGAGGAAACUCUGACCCAGCAAUGCCGCGUGAAUGAAGAAGGUCCUCGGAUUGUAAAGUUCUUUAGUCAGGGAAGAAUAAAAUGACGGUACCUGACGAAUAAGCUCUGGCUAACUACGUGCCAGCAGCGGCGGUCAUACGUAGGGAGCAAGCGUUGUUCGGAAUGACUGGGCGUAAAGGGUGCGUAGGCGGUUAUACAAGUUAGAAGGGAAAUACACAGGGCUUAACUCGGGUGCUGCCUCUAAAACUGUAAGACUUGAGUGCAGUAGAGGUUUGUGGAAUGCCUGGUGUAGCGGUGGAAUGCGUAGAUAUUAGGAAGAACACC